rnacentral:rRNA from 1 species
AUUGAACGCUGGCGGCAGGCCUAACACAUGCAAGUCGGACGGUAGCACAGGGGAGCUUGCUCCUCGGGUGACGAGUGGCGGACGGGUGAGUAAUGUCUGGGGAUCUGCCCGAUAGAGGGGGAUAACCACUGGAAACGGUGGCUAAUACCGCAUAAUGUGGCAAGACCAAAGAGGGAGACCUUCGGGCCUCUCGCUAUCGGAUGAACCCAGAUGGGAUUAGCUAGUAGGCGGGGUAACGGCCCACCUAGGCGACGAUCCCUAGCUGGUCUGAGAGGAUGACCAGCCACACUGGAACUGAGACACGGUCCAGACUCCUACGGGAGGCAGCAGUGGGGAAUAUUGCACAAUGGGCGCAAGCCUGAUGCAGCCAUGCCGCGUGUAUGAAGAAGGCCUUCGGGUUGUAAAGUACUUUCAGCGGGGAGGAAGGCGAUGUGGUUAAUAACCGCGUCGAUUGACGUUACCCGCAGAAGAAGCACCGGCUAACUCCGUGCCAGCCGCCGCAGUAA